GAAACUUUCUGUACGGCAGUCUUUCUUUGUUGAUUAGCUUGAUUAUGUGAUCCACCAGAGCACUGUUCUGACUUCAUAUUCUUUAUUUCUCAUAACAGAGGAUCAGGGCAUGCAGCAGUGUGCAAAGGAUAGCCUAGUAGCUCCACGCUGGCAUGGGCGAAGCCAUCUGCCUGUGCUGAAACUCUGAAUUGCCACAUGUUAAAGCUAAAAGUGACACCAAAGGAGAAGCCACUUCUGAUUGUUCCACUCUGCAUUCCAACACCAAGAACCAUAUCCAGCAAACAGUAGGUGCUCAGCCUUUAACCAGAGCCGCACAUCAGAAUGAAUUAGAUGAUUUGAAGCACACACAUGCACAUUUGCGUACACUUCUAGGCCUACCCUCAGAAACACAGUCAGUGGAUCCAGGAUAUGCUUCAACUGUGUUACUUGCACGUAAAACUAAGGCUGGUAAUUCAACAUAUGGCUGACAACACUUCUCAGCAGAGAGGUAAUAUUUUACCUGAAUAAUUAAAAUGCUAUUUAUUUCAUUUACUGGAUGACAUUAGCAUAAUGUGCAUUACCAGUUUUCUAAUAACAUAAAAUAUCUCUUCAUUCUUAUAAGCAUGUACCAUUUCAACAAUUGUGACAGAGUGACACUAUAUUUCAAAGGCAGUUUUGCCCUAAGCAAGACUUAACAUCUUUUUAAGUAGUUUAAAAAUAUCCAAAGCUUAUCUCCAGAGGACAUCUGCUACUGUUGUUAUGGAACAUAAAAGACAUUUACCGUCAAAAUGCAGGCAGUCUACUAGCUAAUUUCAAAUGCAUAAAUGAGUGCCUAAUCAAAAAAAUCAUCAAAUAUCUGAGAAAAAUGGACACCAUAAAAGAGAGAUAAUCUCAACCAGAUGAAGUAUUUCUACCUGUAAAAGAGUUAUUAGCUCAAUCAGAACAGAACUUUAAAGUACUAUAUUAGUAUCCUACAUUAUAAUUUCUCUAUACUUUCAUAGUCAAUUUAUUCCCUUAUUCUCUUAAAUAAUAUUUUCACACUGCCAUCUCUCUCUUCAGUCUUUCCCGACACAGUCGCCACUAUCUGCUGAUGCUGUUUAUUCCUGUAUGAGUGAGAAUGUUGAAAUAGAUUCCAAUACCAAUUGCACCCUAACCAGCAUUUGUACCCACAUCCUCUUCUGGAAUUUUUCUUGCUACUUAUAAAUGAACAUUCUAUGCUUCCAGCUGAAGAGCAUCCAUUCAAGAACACUUGUUCCCAG
rnacentral:lncRNA from 10 species